rnacentral:rRNA from 1 species
CUCCGUGCCAGCAGCCGCGGUAAUACGGAGGGUGCGAGCGUUAAUCGGAAUUACUGGGCGUAAAGCGCAUGCAGGUGGUUUGUUAAGUCAGAUGUGAAAGCCCGGGGCUCAACCUCGGAAUUGCAUUUUGAAACUGGCAAACUAGAGUACUGUAGAGGGGGUAGAAUUUCAGGUGUAGCGGUGAAAUGCGUAGAGAUCUGAAGGAAUACCGGUGGCGAAGGCGGCCCCCUGGACAGAUACUGACACUCAGAUGCGAAAGCGUGGGGAGCAAACAGGAUUAGAUACCCUGGUAG